AGACAUAUCUUAGAAAAAUUUUAGGUAAUUAUAUGAAUAAAAUUAAAUGCCAAAUAUUGAAUAAUGUUAAGGAACGUCUCUUACUUAAGAGACAACAAAAUACCUUAAGAGACGAACGUCUUUAUUUUUUCUCGUCUCUUUCUGGUCUCCUUCUCUCUCGUCUCCGAUGGUGAAAUCGAAGAGUUUGGUCUGGAUCGUCUUAAAAUUGGUUCGAAUUGGUUGCCCGUGUUCUGUUGUCUCUCUCUCUCUUUAUCGUCUCUCCGAUGGCGAUCAAUUUCACGAUUGUUCUCUUUCAAUCGUAUAAAGCCAAGUGCUUUUUCUCAAAAUUUACCUGCGAAUUUAAGGUAGGAAGAGAAGCUAAAGCUCUAAUAGAAGUGAGUCCGUUGAUGAAGAUUGUCAUGUAUUUGAAGAAAGUUCACUGAAAUUGAAGAAACAUUCUUAUUAUUGUCUCUUUAUCGUAUUUGCAUAAACAUUCAAGCAAAGAUGGGAAGGAGAUGAUGCAACCUCCACAAUCUGCAGACCCCAUGGCUUGUUCAAGUAAGAUUUGCUUUUUAGUUUUCUUAUGAUGUACAAGGAGAACUUCCACAAGCCUUUUGUCGUCGGGCUGCUGUCAAAGGAUGUAUCUAUGUACGUUUGGAACAAUUUACUGCAUUGUGUACUAUGUUGCUGCUGUGGUAUUUGUUACUUGGUUUUGUUGACGAAAGGAUUCUUACUUGAUUAUUUUAAAAUCUUUUAGAUUAGUCACGUUAACUUUAUUAUCACAAGGUUACUUCUUAUGGCAUGUAGACUGAUUUCGGACCUGCUGUCUCCUUUAUUCUUUGAGCAACAUUUGGUUUAUGUAAACUUAAAGUGUUGUGUCUUUGAAAGUUUAUGCAUUGAUGUCUUUGUGCAUGUCUUUAUGUUUUUGUUUAUUGAUGUCUUUAUGUUCAA